AUUGAACGCUGGCGGCAUGCCUAACACAUGCAAGUCGAACGGGGCAGCAAUGCCUAGUGGCGGACGGGUGAGGAAUACGUAGGAAUCUGCCCUUAAGUGGGGGAUAACCAGGGGAAACCCUGACUAAUACCGCAUGAUCUCUUCGGAGCAAAGAGGGGGACCGCAAGGCCUCUCGCUUCUGGAUGAGCCUACGUCUGAUUAGCUAGUUGGUAGGGUAAAGGCCUACCAAGGCGACGAUCAGUAACUGGUCUGAGAGGAUGAUCAGUCACACCGGAACUGAGACACGGUCCGGACUCCUACGGGAGGCAGCAGUGGGGAAUAUUGGACAAUGGGCGCAAGCCUGAUCCAGCAAUGCCGCGUGUGUGAAGAAGGCCUUCGGGUUGUAAAGCACUUUAGCCUGGAAAGAAAAAACUUUGGUUGACACCCAAAGUCUUGACGGUACCGGGAGAAUAAGCACCGGCUAACUCUGUGCCAGCAGCCGCGGUUAACAC
rnacentral:rRNA from 1 species